rnacentral:lncRNA from 1 species
AUGAGAGUGCGUGAUAGAAUGAGGAUCAUCAUCAAUCAACGUAUGGAGUCUAAUUUGAAAUACAGAGAGGGGAGGAAAGAAGGGCAGAAGAUGAGUGUUGUGUUGUGUGUCACCAUCAGCAUUCAGCUUGCCUCCUUCCGAAGCAGACAGAACUCCUCCUGCCAAAUGGCUGAGCAGUUAAGCCAAACGAAGAACAUUCGUACAUAAUUCCACCCGGUUUGGCUCAAGGCAUGAAUAGCAAAAUAUUUAACAGCAGUAUUUAACUCCUCUGCCCUUCUUAACAUCCUUCCUUAUUCUAAUCUACAUCUUCUCUUCUGUCCAGAUCUUGUUCUAGUUGCUCACUUUUCUUUUAACUUUCUUUUUCUCUUCGUAUUUUUCAUGGAGAACCUCUUUUCCCCGAUGUUUCCAUCAAGAAGUUAAAUCCUGAUGUCGAGGUGUACCAAAAGGUGUGACAGAAGGGUUUAAAUGAUGUAUUAGCCCUACUUAACAAGCUUGUGUAUGUUUCUGGUACAUAUGUAUAUAUGUUUGUACAUUUUUUCUGAUAUUUGUCAUUUGUUUCUAAUAUUAAAAGUAUAGGCAGUCA